rnacentral:tRNA from 1 species
AGCCAGGUAGCUCAGUUGGUUAGAGCAUGGUACUAAGAAUGCCAAGGUUUCGAGUUCGAUCCCCAUACAGGCCA